AUUUCUAAGACGAGUCCCAAAUAGGACGAAACGCGCUUACUGGAU
rfam:Schistosoma rodhaini strain Burundi genome assembly, scaffold: SROB_scaffold0011253